rnacentral:rRNA from 1 species
CMGUGGGMAKGGMCGGUCAGACUCCUACGGGAGGCAGCAGUAGGGAAUCUUCCGCAAUGGACGAAAGUCUGACGGAGCAACGCCGCGUGAGUGAUGAAGGUUUUCGGAUCGUAAAGCUCUGUUGUUAGGGAAGAACAAGUGCCGUUCAAAUAGGGCGGCACCUUGACGGUACCUAACCAGAAAGCCACGGCUAACUACGUGCCAGCAGCCGCGGUAAUACGUAGGUGGCAAGCGUUGUCCGGAAUUAUUGGGCGUAAAGGGCUCGCAGGCGGUUUCUUAAGUCUGAUGUGAAAGCCCCCGGCUCAACCGGGGAGGGUCAUUGGAAACUGGGGAACUUGAGUGCAGAAGAGGAGAGUGGAAUUCCACGUGUAGCGGUGAAAUGCGUAGAGAUGUGGAGGAACACCAGUGGCGAAGGCGACUCUCUGGUCUGUAACUGACGCUGAGGAGCGAAAGCGUGGGGAGCGAACAGGAUUAGAUACCCUGGUAGUCCACGCCGUAAACGAUGAGUGCUAAGUGUUAGGGGGUUUCCGCCCCUUAGUGCUGCAGCUAACGCAUUAAGCACUCCGCCUGGGGAGUACGGUCGCAAGACUGAAACUCAAAGGAAUUGACGGGGGCCCGCACAAGCGGUGGAGCAUGUGGUUUAAUUCGAAGCAACGCGAAGAACCUUACCAGGUCUUGACAUCCUCUGACAAUCCUAGAGAUAGGACGUCCCCUUCGGGGGCAGAGUGACAGGUGGUGCAUGGUUGUCGUCAGCUCGUGUCGUGAGAUGUUGGGUUAAGUCCCGCAACGAGCGCAACCCUUGAUCUUAGUUGCCAGCAUUCAGUUGGGCACUCUAAGGUGACUGCCGGUGACAAACCGGAGGARGGUGGGGGAUGACGUCAAUCAUCAUGCCCCUUAUGACSUGGGCUACACACGUGCUACAAUGGGACAGAAACAKAGGGCAGCGAAACCYGCGGAGGGUUGAGGCCAAUCCCCACAAAUCUGUUUCUCAGUUUCRGAUCGCAGUSCUGCAACSUCGACUGCCGUGAAGCUGGGAGUCGACUAGUUAUSYCGMCRGGAKWCSRGRAUCGCGGGUUUC